GACGUAGGGCGCAAGCGUUGUCCGGAUUUAUUGGGCGUAAAGAGCUCGUAGGCGGCCUGUCGCGUCGACCGUGAAAACCCGCAGCUCAACUGCGGGCUUGCGGUCGAUACGGGCAGGUUGGAGUUCGGUAGGGGAGACUGGAAUUCCUGGUGUAGCGGUGAAAUGCGCAGAUAUCAGGAGGAACACCGGUGGCGAAGGCGGGUCUCUGGGCCGAUACUGACGCUGAGGAGCGAAAGCGUGGGGAGCGAACAGG
rnacentral:rRNA from 1 species